UACGUAGGGUGCGAGCGUUGUCCGGAAUUAUUGGGCGUAAAGAGCUCGUAGGCGGUUUGUCGCGUCUGCUGUGAAAACCCGAGGCUCAACCUCGGGCCUGCAGUGGGUACGGGCAGACUAGAGUGCGGUAGGGGAGACUGGAAUUCCUGGUGUAGCGGUGGAAUGCGCAGAUAUCAGGAGGAACACCGAUGGCGAAGGCAGGUCUCUGGGCCGCUACUGACGCUGAGGAGCGAAAGCAUGGGGAGCGAACAGG
rnacentral:rRNA from 1 species